rnacentral:rRNA from 1 species
AACGAACGCUGGCGGCAGGCUUAACACAUGCAAGUCGAACGGGCAUAGCAAUAUGUCAGUGGCAGACGGGUGAGUAACACGUGGGAACCUUCCUAGAGGUACGGAACAACGCAGGGAAACUUGUGCUAAUACCGUAUACGCUCGAGAGAGGAAAGAUUUAUCGCCUUUAGACGGGCCCGCGUAGGAUUAGGUUGUUGGUGAGGUAACGGCUCACCAAGCCUACGAUCCUUAGCUGAUCUAAGAGGAUGAUCAGCCACACUGGGACUGAGACACGGCCCAGACUCCUACGGGAGGCAGCAGUGGGGAAUCUUGGACAAUGGGCGCAAGCCUGAUCCAGCCAUGCCGCGUGAGUGAAGAAGGCCUUCGGGUUGUAAAGCUCUUUUACCAGGGACGAUAAUGACGGUACCUGGAGAAUAAGCCCCGGCUAACUUCGUGCCAGCAGCCGCAGUAACAC